AUUCAUAAAGCAUCUUAUCUACUUUGCUUUAAUUUCUUUUUCUCUAACUGCUCUAAAAAUAGGAGUGUUACUCAUUUCUCUGAAGCCCCAUCAAUUGUUUACUGGUAAGCAUUGUCUGGAAAGGAAGGAAGGAUAAGGAGAUAGCAGGAGUAAAUCAAUAUUUUAUUGCAGUGAAAUGCUUGUGUUAUUUCAGCUAGUCAAUUUUACUUAUAACCUUCUCAGCUGCAGUGCUAUCCAUCUCAGUUGCUCCAGAAUGAAAGGCUACAUCACCUCUGCUGCUAGUCCAUGUGAUGGAGUGCAGAUGAAAGAAACAGACUAAACCAUUGGACUCAGCUUGGCAGAAAAUCGUCACUUUAUCCACUUUAAGAUUUUUAGGACAACAAUAGCAAAACAAUGACUUUUCAGCCCUUUUUACAAAGACUGGAAGCCACUGAGAAGUUAUGUGGAUCUCUGUAUCCCUGAGAGCAUGUAGACUGCUCAUUGAAUCUGCUCAAUCAUCUCAUUCUGCAUUUACCUUAAAAAAAAUGCAAAACAAGGCAAAGAAAGAAACCCAACCCCCAGAAGCAAGUAGCACUCCUGCUCAGACGAUGUUCAAGGGAGUUAUUCCAACUUGAUCUUUCUCUCACAUAUCCUUUAUGGGAGGAAAUAUUUACAAAGGAAGCAAACUGGAAAAGAUCACAAAGAUCCUGCCACAUAGAUUUCCUGGUGCUAUUCUCUAGAGGAAAAGGCAAAAGUACUUUCCUCAAAUUCCUUUUCCCAUGUAAACAGCGGGAAGAAUAUUAUCUUUUGUUAACUUUUUAUUUUGCUCAUUUGCCAUUAUCUGCAAAACAUGCUAUAUAAAAACUCUGUUUAUUAAUCAUGACUGUUGUGUUCUAUAACAAAAAUGAUCCCUUGGGACCAUAUUUGUUAUAUAUACUGAAAUGUACUGCUAGCUAAGUGGCUUUAUCUGUAAUGCAGAAAAUCUUUGUGUGCUUUGGAAGACCGUUUGGUGAACUGUGCAAGGAAAUCAUUUAGUUAUCUGGCUGCAUUAAAGACAAAAUCAAUUUAAGAUGAA